rnacentral:piRNA from 1 species
UAGUUACAAAGCUGAUUUCGA